CGAAGGGUGCAAGCGUUGUUCGGAUUUAUUGGGCGUAAAGCGCGCGCAGGCGGACAGGCAAGUCAGAUGUGAAAUCUCGGGGCUCAACCCCGAAAGUGCACCUGAAACUAUCUGUCUAGAGUAUUGGAGAGGGUAGGGGAAUUUCUCAUGUAGGGGUAAAAUCCGUAGAGAUGAGAAGGAACACCAGAGGCGAAGGCGCCUACCUGGCCAAUUACUGACGCUGAGGCGCGAAAGCGUGGGGAGCAAACAGGAUUAGAGACCCUGGUAGUCCACGCCGUAAACGAUGGGCACUAGAUUUAGGGGGAAUUGACCCCCUCUGAGUCGUAGCUAACGCGUUAAGUGCCCCGCCUGGGGAGUACGGUCGCAAGAUUA
rnacentral:rRNA from 1 species